UGUGCAUGGUGUGGGGGUUGAGGGGAUGAGGCCGUUUGAAGCAAAGAACCGGUAUGUGCAAAUGUCCUGCGGUUAAAGAGAGCAAAGGGCACACAAGGCCCUAGAGGAAGCUGUGAGCCUGGAAGGCAGAGUGAGGGUGGAGCAGGGGCCAAGCCUGCAGAGCCUUGUGGGCCAUGGUAAGGAUUUUACUCUUUACUGGCAGAGCAGUAAACAUCAUUAAGGGGUUUGAGGAAGAUGGGUGACAUCAUCUGAUUGGAGUUUUCUUAAAGAUCCCUCUGGCUGCAGUGUUGAGAGUGGAUUGAAAGGAGCCAGGUUAGAUUUGGAGUCACUGAGGCAGUUCAGAUGAAGACCAUGUAGCACAGAGGCCCAAAGCAUAUUUUCUUUCUUUCUCUUUCACUGAAAGAUUUUGCUCUUUUAAAAGCCAAAAAAAAAAAAAAAAAAAAAAAAAAAAAAUCCAGCGGAGUCCUACCCCCAGCCGGUUGGUUCCGUGCCUCCUCCUCACUUCUGGUGGUUGCCGACAAUACUUAGCAUUCCUUGGCUUGUAGACUCAUCACUCCAGUCUCUGCCUCUGUCUUCACAAAGCUUUCUUCUCUCCCUGUGUUUAUGUCUCUGUGUCUCUCCUGUGUAAGGAAACCUGUCGUUGGAUUUAGGGUCCGCCUUCAUCCAGUCUGACCGCACCUUUAUUUAACUGAUCACAUCUGCAAAGACCCUGUUUCCUAAUGGUCACAUUCUGAGGAUCCAGGAAGAUGAGAAUUUAUGGGGACACCAUUCAGCCCAGGAAAUGGAUCAUCCUGACAAUGGAUCAGGGUAUUGUUUAUGAGCUUAAUUUCAAUCAGAAGAGAUAUGCUAAAAAAACUCUUCCAGAAAAGCAUUCUGGAGUCAAAACCAUGGCCUAGAGCUGAGAGCAGCUUCUCUCUUUACACAGACUGGUACCCGCUGGUUGUCACUGGCCUGCUUCGGUCAUUUAUAUUAUUUGGCUGGCUUUCAUAGAUGUUUGAGCUUGCAACGUCUGAUUUAGAGUCAAAAGUGAACAAUGUCACGAUGUGGAAAGACCAGGAGGCUGCUGGGCGGUGGUGGUGUGUGACAAGGGCACCCAAUUCCGUAAACAUCGCUGAAUAAAUGAGUGGCUCUGUUGGAAGAAUGCAGCAGGGCUGUUUUGGUGACUUCCUCUCUGCAAGACCACAGAUGAUGCCUGUUAGGUCCUUAUGCAGCAGCCAUUACCUUGGAAACAGGCCAUCCUGACAGCGUGUCAAGGAAGUUGUUAGAAGGAAUUAUUUCAGCCAGAAGAGAUCUCUGCAAAGCAAUCUGUUCCAGCCUACUGUGUCGUGGAGCUGUCCCCACGUCCCUGAUCUUUUGCUGGAAAUGCAGCGGCAACCAGCAUGAAGCCUACACCUGUCAUGAGCUAAUGUGUGAGUCCUGCCAAGGUCUGCGCUUGGGCUCCAUUCACAGAGGAGAAGAGACCUUCCAGGGAAGUGUGUUAAUGUUUAACCCUUGAUGCGCAAACUCUUUCUCCCCGAGAAACGUGCCCUUGCCAAACCACUCUCAGGCACUUUUUUGGUUUAGGAGGCAGACCGGAGAAAGGCAAGUUUAUAGAAACUGACCUUCAAGUGCAAGGUCCAUAGGCCUUUUUAAAAAAGAGUCUAGGAAGAAUGAAGCGGAGGCUCGGCCCGGAGACGUGGUGUAAAGCUGAGAUGAGAACCAAACCUCGUCAGGGUCAGAUGUGUCCUUUCUCUCCGGCUGCAGCCAGAGCAGAACCUGGAUGCCUGGGUGGGAGAUUCAUUUAUAUUUUUGAAGUACUGCGUUUCACACAGGGGAGCCAAACUCACCUUCUCCUGGCCCGGCAGGAGCUUUUCGAGUCGCGUUAUAGGAACGUGUGUCCAUUGGUGCCUGUUUCCUGGCUGCAGCCGUUUUCAGGAAGUCUCCGUGGCUGGAGGGAGUUUGGCCGCUUCCUCAAGAUGGAGAUGUUAUGUAAGCGUGCUGCCGCCGGUUGCUCGGUGCCCCGGCUCUCCUACGGCACUUGUAUUUCCUGCAAAGUGGAACCUGCCACUGACUAACAGGAUUCUUUGCCAGACGUUUUGAUCCCUCGUCUGACCUCACUCUGCCCUCACUUCCCCACGUCAGAUUGUACGGGGGCCCCAGUGCCCUGUCAGCCUCUGAGGCCACAUGAGGUGGCGUUUACCUUGUGCUGCAUCAAGCUUUGUAAAGGUUUUUGUGAAAAUAAAGAACUCCCCAUCAGCUAAGUCACUUGUGUGCUGAACUGCCUUCCGUGUACUGGCCUUUGGCAGACACAAAAGAUCUUUCACCCCCGCGCCAUCCUCGGCUCCUGGACUGAAGCGAAUGUCUGUUGCUUUUGGCUUUUACGUUCGUGGCUGGUCGAGAAGUCAGCAGGAGGCUCCAAAUCAGCCCUGUCUUUGGUACAAAUAGGAAACUGAAACGACUCCUGGGCAGCUGUGUUUGGAGACCUCCUCUGCUUUUGUCAUCCUGUGAUCCAGUGGUCCUGUCCUAGUGGCCUCUGACUUGGAAAGGUUUCAUUCAGGAUGCCGGCCAUGGGAUGUGUGGCUGGAGGAAGUCUGUGUUGAUUAUCUUCUUGGAGAGGCCAGAUGGCAGUGGACUCUAGAGUUCUGAGUCCCGCUUUGCUCAAAGGUGCCUGAGGAAUCGCAGCCU